GGAUGAACGCUGGCGGCGUGCCUAAUACAUGCAAGUCGAGCGAACAGACGAGGAGCUUGCUCCUCUGACGUUAGCGGCGGACGGGUGAGUAACACGUGGAUAACCUACCUAUAAGACUGGGAUAACUUCGGGAAACCGGAGCUAAUACCGGAUAAUAUAUUGAACCGCAUGGUUCAAUAGUGAAAGACGGUUUUGCUGUCACUUAUAGAUGGAUCCGCGCCGCAUUAGCUAGUUGGUAAGGUAACGGCUUACCAAGGCGACGAUGCGUAGCCGACCUGAGAGGGUGAUCGGCCACACUGGAACUGAGACACGGUCCAGACUCCUACGGGAGGCAGCAGUAGGGAAUCUUCCGCAAAGGGCGAAAGCCUGACGGAGCAACGCCGCGUGAGUGAUGAAGGUCUUCGGAUCGUAAAACUCUGUUAUUAGGGAAGAACAAAUGUGUAAGUAACUAUGCACGUCUUGACGGUACCUAAUCAGAAAGCCACGGCUAACUACGUG
rnacentral:rRNA from 1 species